rnacentral:sRNA from 1 species
UAGUGGCCCGGUUGCGCGGCUCAGCCCAC